AGAGCGAACGCUGGCGGCAGGCCUAACACAUGCAAGUCGAGCGCCCGUAGCAAUACGGGAGCGGCAGACGGGAUAGUAACACGUGGGAACGCGCCCUUCGGUUCGGAAUAACUCAGGGAAACUUGAGCUAAUACCGAAUACGCCCUUACGGGGAAAGAUUUAUUGCCGAAGGAACGGCCCGCGUCCGAUUAACUAGUUGGUGAGGUAAUGGCUCACCAAGGCUACGAUCGGUAGCUGGUCUGAGAGGAUGACCAGCAUCACUGGGACUGAGACACGGCCCAGACUCCUACGGGAGGCAGCAGUGGGGAAUAUUGGACAAUGGGCGCAAGCCUGAUCCAGCCAUGCCGCGUGGAUGAUGAAGGCCUUAGGGUUGUAAAGUCCUUUUAACGGGGAGAUAAUGACGGUACCGUAGAAUAAGCCCGGCUAACUUCGUGCCAGCAGCCGC
rnacentral:rRNA from 1 species